GGGGAAUAUUGCGCAAUGGGGGAAACCCUGACGCAGCAACGCCGCGUGAGCGAUGAAGGUCUUCGGAUUGUAAAGCUCUGUCUUUAGGGACGAUAAUGACGGUACCUAAGGAGGAAGCCACGGCUAACUACGUGCCAGCAGCCGCGGUAAUACGUAGGUGGCAAGCGUUGUCCGGAUUUACUGGGCGUAAAGAGUAUGUAGGCGGAUAUUUAAGUCAGAUGUGAAAUUCCCAGGCUUAACCUGGGCGCUGCAUUUGAUACUGGAUAUCUAGAGUGUGGGAGAGGAAAGUGGAAUUCCUAGUGUAGCGGUGAAAUGCGUAGAGAUUAGGAAGAACACCAGUGGCGAAGGCGGCUUUCUGGACCAUAACUGACGCUGAGAUACGAAAGCGUGGGGAGCAAAC
rnacentral:rRNA from 1 species